CAGUGAAGGUCUGCUGGUGAUGAAUUCUUCCAGCUUUGAUGUUGCUCCAGAGUGUUCUCUUUUGCACUGUUUCCAGUGAGAAGUCUGCUGUAAUCUUUGUCUUUGUUUCUUUGUAGAGAAAGACACAGCGAGAGAGGGGAACACAAGCAGGG